GACGAACGCUGGCGGCGUGCUUAACACAUGCAAGUCGAGCGGAGCUGCGAACGGGUGAGUAACGCGUGAGUAACUGCCCCCCUCUCUGGGAUAACAGUUGGAAACGGCUGCUAAUACCGGAUAGUGGGGGAUGACUCGCGUCCUAUCAGCUUGUUGGUGGGGUAGUGGCCUACCAAGGCGACGACGGGUAGCCGGCCUGAGAGGGCGACCGGCCAAGUGGGGCGAGGAUACGGCCAAAACUCCAACGGGAGGAGGGAGUGGGAAAUUUUGAAGCAUGGGGGAACCCCUGAGGCAGAAACGCCGAGGGGGGGAGAACGGCCUUCGGGUUGUAAACCGCUUUUGGCAAUGACGGGGUAGUGGCAGAAGAAGACCGGGCAAACUCCGGGCCAGCAGCCGCGGAAAAC
rnacentral:rRNA from 1 species